UACGUAGGGGGCAAGCGUUGUCCGGAUUUAUUGGGCGUAAAGAGCGUGUAGGCGGUUUGGUAGGUCCGCUGUGAAAACUCGAGGCUCAACCUCGAGACGCCGGUGGAAACCAUCAGACUAGAGUCCGGAAGAGGAGAGUGGAAUUCCUGGUGUAGCGGUGAAAUGCGCAGAUAUCAGGAAGAACACCCCGUGGCUAAGGCGGCUCUCUAGUACGGUACUGACGCUGAGGAGCGAAAAGUGUGGGGAGCGAACAGG
rnacentral:rRNA from 1 species